rnacentral:rRNA from 2 species
UGGGGAAUAUUGCGCAAUGGGGGAAACCCUGACGCAGCGACGCCGCGUGCGGGAUGAAGGCCUUCGGGUUGUAAACCGCUUUUGAUUGGGAGCAAGCCUUCGGGUGAGUGUACCUUUCGAAUAAGCGCCGGCUAACUACGUGCCAGCAGCCGCGGUAAUACGUAGGGCGCAAGCGUUAUCCGGAUUUAUUGGGCGUAAAGAGCUUGUAGGCGGUUCGUCGCGUCUGGUGUGAAAGCCCAUCGCUUAACGGUGGGUCUGCGCCGGGUACGGGCGGGCUAGAGUGCAGUAGGGGAAACUGGAAUUCUCGGUGUAACGGUGGAAUGUGUAGAUAUCGGGAAGAACACCAAUGGCGAAGGCAGGUUUCUGGGCUGUUACUGACGCUGAGAAGCGAAAGCGUGGGGAGCGAACAGGAUUAGAUACCCUGGUAGUCCACGCCGUAAACGGUGGACGCUGGAUGUGGGGCCCAUUCCACGGGUUCCGUGUCGGAGCUAACGCGUUAAGCGUCCCGCCUGGGGAGUACGGCCGCAAGGCUAAAACUCAAAGAAAUUGACGGGGGCCCGCACAAGCGGCGGAGCAUGCGGAUUAAUUCGAUGCAACGCGAAGAACCUUACCUGGGCUUGACAUGUGCCUGAUGACUGCAGAGAUGUGGUUUCCUUUCGGGGCAGGUUCACAGGUGGUGCAUGGUCGUCGUCAGCUCGUGUCGUGAGAUGUUGGGUUAAGUCCCGCAACGAGCGCAACCCUCGCCCUGUGUUGCCAGCGGGUUAUGCCGGGAACUCACGGGGGACCGCCGGGGUUAACUCGGAGGAAGGUGGGGAUGACGUCAGAUCAUCAUGCCCCUUACGUCCAGGGCUUCACGCAUGCUACAAUGGCCGGUACAACGGGGUGCGACAUGGUGACAUGGAGCUAAUCCCUUAAAACCGGUCUCAGUUCGGAUCGUAGUCUGCAACUCGACUACGUGAAGGCGGAGUCGCUAGUAAUCGCGAAUCAGCAACGUCGCGGUGAAUGCGUUCCCGGGCCU